rnacentral:rRNA from 1 species
AUUGAACGCUGGCGGCAGGCCUAACACAUGCAAGUCGAACGAGUGGCGGACGGGUGAGUAAUGUCUGGGAAACUGCCUGAUGGAGGGGGAUAACUACUGGAAACGGUAGCUAAUACCGCAUACCCUCAGAUGUGCCCAGAUGGGAUUAGCUUUUUGUUGGGGUCACGGCUCACCAAGGCGACGAUCCCUAGCUGGUCUGAGAGGAUGACCAGCCCCCUUGGAACGGAGACACGGUCCGGACUCCGCCGGGAGGCAGCAUUGGGGAAUAUGGGACAAUGGGCGCAAGCCUGAUGCAGCCAUGCCGCGUGUAUGAAGAAGGCCUUCGGGUUGUAAAGUACUUUCAGCGGGGAGGCGUUACCCGCAGAAGAAGCACCGGCUAACUCCGUGCCAGCAGCCGCGGUAAUAC